ensembl:lncRNA
AGUGACAAAAGCACAUCCAAGAGUAUAGUAUAGUCACAAUAUGCUGCCGGAAGGAACGAAGGAGCUGUGGAAAAAUGAAAUAAAUUCAACACACAGGGUAAAUCCACACUUGGAAGGGAAGGAAGACGCACAUUCAGGAACACAGGUGAGAGAGAGUAUAGUGUGGCUUGUCUCCAAAAAUUUGAUUGAUGAGGGUCAUAAAAGACAUCUGUUUUGUACACCUGUUUGGACCCCCCACCCCUCCCUGUACAGCCCCCGUGUGUGACCUUUUUAUGAACCUAAAAGGAAUUUGGCGGGAGGGAAAAUUGUUUUUGUGUGUGGGAACUAUGUGCUUUUAACCUUUAACACUAGAAGUCCCAGAGAUUUGUAACCCUCCUUUAGCCAAGUGGAUGCUAACUGGCUAGUCUUUUGGCUAUCAUUAGCAUCAAUUCAUGUGUAAAUAUGGUCAUUACCUGAGCAAUCUGCAGGGGGGUUGGGGGUGUGUGUGUGAAUGGUUGCUGGUGGCUUGUUUGUAUGUGUGGGGGAAGGAGGGCUGCUAAAAGCAGAGAACUUGAUUGACCUCCUCUCCAAGAAAAGAAAAUGCAGAGAAGACUCACCACUCGGCAGGCCUUGGAAAUGAUCCUGAGUGAAGUAAACCCUUGUGACUCAGAUGGAGAAGACAUAGAACUUCAGCCGGAUUCGGACUCAGAUCUGUCUGAUCUGUCUUCAGAUGAGGAGACUGCUCCUCAACCAAAAAAGAGAGCCCGUUUGGGGACUGACCUGACAGAGACAGCGAAAGAUGGCACAGUGUGGCAUGAAGAACAGGUGGGGACGCGUCUCCCUUUCACCCCAAUCAAAGCGUACGCUGCAGAUGGAGAGCCAACGGCUAAGGCCAGGAAAAGUAUCUCGAGUCGCCUUCAGAGCUUCCUGUGUUUCAUCACUCUUGACAUGCUUCAUAGCAUUCAAGAAUGGACUAUUCAACAUGCACAGGAAACGGAGCAUGUUCAUUGGUUCAUGGCCCUCCCUGAACUAAUGGCAUUUAUUGCAAUUGUCAUCUUGCGGGGGCUUACCAAGGUUCCAUCACUACGUGACUGCUGGUCAGCAAACCUGGGAAACCCACAUAUCAUUGGAACAAUGCCGCGAAACCGCUUCCAAGACAUCAUGGGACACCUACGCUUUGAUGACAGGUCCACCCGGAGUGAUCGAGCAAAGACUGAUAAGUUUGCUGGAAUACCUAAAUAAACUCUGGAAUAACGUUUGGUCUACAUAUCACCGUUGAUGAACAGCUUUUCCCGUCAAAGACUCGCUGCUGUUUCCUGCAGUAUAUUGCAACUAAACCUGACAAGUUUGGGAUCAAGUUUUGGGUGGCUUGCGACCUAAAAUCCAAGUACAUUUGUAAUGUCCUCCCAUAUCUUGGCAAGGACCCUAGUCGUCCCAGUGGAGAGAGACUGUCUGAAAAUGUAGUGAUGAGGCUGAUGGAACCAUUCCUAGACAAGGGCAGAAAUGUUACCACGGACAAUUUCUUCACAUCGCUGUCACUUGCGCAUAAACUUCUUAGCCGGAAAACCACCAUCCUCGGCACAGUCAACAAGAUUCGCCGGGAAAUCCCUCAAUCCGCUAGACACACAGAUCGCAAUGAAUUCACCACUCAGGUAUGUUGCAGGUCUUUUGUGGUUCUAUGUUUAUGUGUUUCUAAUUUUUAGAAUCAACACCGCCAAGUGUGUCAUUGUGUCAUUGUGUGUAAAAGUGCUAUGAAAAUAACAAUUUAUCUUAUUUAUUAGGUGUUUUCAACCACUGCUGCUACGCUGACGGCGUAUGCGCCCAAACGGAAGAAGACCGUCUACAUUCUUAGCAGCAUGCACAGCGUGAUUCAGACUGAUAAUACCACCAAAAGGAAGCCAAACACUGUCACCCUUUACAACACCACAAAGUGCGGCGUGGAUGUGAUGGACCAGAUGGUGCGGGAGUACACUGUCCGCACAGGGACACGGCGCUGGCCAGUUGCCGUGUUCUAUAACAUGAUUGACAUGGC